GAUGAAGAACGCAGCGAAAUGCGAUACGUAAUGUGAAUUGCAGAAUUCAGUGAAUCAUCGAAUCUUUGAACGCAUAUUGCGCUCUCUGGUAUUCCGGAGAGCAUGCUUGUUUGAGUAUCAGUAAACACCUCAACUUCCAUAUCUUUUUUGAAAUGGGAGUUGGACUUGAGUGAUCCCAACGCUUUUCCUCACCGAAAAGUGGCGGGUUACUUGAAAUGCAGGUGCAGCUGGACUUUUCUCUGAGCUAUAAGCAUAUCUAUUUAGUCUGCCUAAAAAACAGAUUAUUACCUUUGCUGCAGCUAACAUAAAGGAGAUUAGUUCUUGUGCUGACUGAUGCAGGAUUCACAAAGACAGGCUUCGGCCGACUUUGUAAACUCGAUCUCAAAUCAAGUAAGACUACCCGCUGAACUUAAGCAGAUCAAUAAGCGGAGGA
rnacentral:misc_RNA from 1 species